ACCAAAAUGCCUGAAUAACACAUGACCGUAUAACUUUGCAAAUAAACACUGUAGUCUGUUCAAAUACUAUGACCAUAAUGGCAAUUUUUCAACACUAAAUGUAUGUAGAGGAGAUCAGGAAUUUGCAACUCCCUCCAUCAGCUUAACAAAAUCAUACCACCUGCCACCUAACGGUACAGCAGAAGUCGACAGUAUACGUUUUUGUAUAAACCUUUAAAUGACAAAAAGCAAUACUGAGACGAAAAAGAUUUAUAUACAAAUACACAGCCUAUUUGGAAUUAACUACUGUAAUUUGUAGGCAGACAACUAUGGUAAUAAAACAUCAAAGUUUAAGUAAAUAAAUACCAAAAACAACAACAACAAAACUCACUUUUAAGGCGUUUAAAUGCAAUCUGUAAUCACAUACAUAUUCAUUGGAUUUUUGUAGGCUACAGAUUAAAAUUCCACCAUGUUUUUGUCAACAAACUUUCUAGAAGAAUAUUUAAGAAAGGCCUUUAGGGCAGUUUGAUAAAGGUCACUUACAUAAAACAUUUCCUGUAAACGUAUUUGACUCGAUCAAUUUGCGAUUAUAUAAAAGUAAAUGCGCCACAGUCCGCGGAUGCGCGAAAUAAGCAGGAUGUUGAAUAUCACUUUAAAUUUUUCAAAACACUAAACCCGACAGAUUUAAUUUCUUUCUAAUAACCGCUCGCUUGGCCCUAUAGACCAACGCGGUCAAGCGAGCGGAAAAAUUGCUCCCAAUUAGUGGUUUUGAAACGACUCAAGGUAUGUGGCACUCAUACAGGAAAUGACAUCAACGGGUCAAACCUAAAAAUAUGUCGCAGGGCGGACGGUGAUUGUGGGACGCCCUGAACCUGCUCUGUACUGGAUGCUUCGAGACAGGUUUCUAUAGUUUUGGGAGGUGGAUGCUGAGGACCUGAGCUGAGUGAGCGCUUCUCAACCAUCACUUUCAUCCUCUGCAAGUUCAGCGCAGACGACACACUUUCACUGUGACGCCGAGCCGGUGGGCUGUCGCAGGUGCAGCUGCUGUCUGGGGCAGAGAGAGGAGACAAACACCACAGACAGUGAAUGCUGGAGUGUUAACAGUUGAUGGAAACGUCGUUAUAUGUCGUGGGCCAGUUGUCUCUUUGAAGUCCUGUAACUAGGGAGUUAACAAGUUAAUAUCAGAGGACAGGUAGGCCUAACUAAUCUUAAUGUUCUUCUGCAGCAAAGUUUUGUUAGUGUGUUUUUGUGCUUGUGACUAGGUGUCUUUCUUCAUGAUGUCCCACAAAAGUUAGUCAGUAGAAGUGAACUUUAUUUAAAAAAAAUAUAUAUAUAUAUAUAUAUUUUUAAUUGCCUUUGUGGUGGACCUUAAUUUUACAUUUGGGGUCAAAUUUUGUACUCAGCCUAAAACAUUUUGGAAUGGUUGUUUUGAUUGAUUUCAUGAUUACUAUAUUGUACUUUCAUUUUAAAAUUAAAUUAUUGAAUGCAUUUAAAAUGCAGGCAAAAAUCAGCUAGUUAUAAAUUGCAGUUAUUAAGAUUUGAAAGAGUUUU
ensembl:lncRNA